rnacentral:rRNA from 1 species
AGCGAACGCUGGCGGCAGGCUUAACACAUGCAAGUCGAGCGGGCGUAGCAAUACGUCAGCGGCAGACGGGUGAGUAACGCGUGGGAACAUACCUCUUGGUUCGGAACAACACAGGGAAACUUGUGCUAAUACCGGAUAAGCCCUUACGGGGAAAGAUUUAUCGCCGAGAGAUUGGCCCGCGUCUGAUUAGCUAGUUGGUGAGGUAACGGCUCACCAAGGCGACGAUCAGUAGCUGGUCUGAGAGGAUGAUCAGCCACAUUGGGACUGAGACACGGCCCAAACUCCUACGGGAGGCAGCAGUGGGGAAUAUUGGACAAUGGGCGCAAGCCUGAUCCAGCCAUGCCGCGUGAGUGAUGAAGGCCCUAGGGUUGUAAGCUCUUUUGUGCGGGAAGAUAAUGACGGUACCGCAAGAAUAAGCCCCGGCUAACUUCGUGCCAGCAGCCGCCGU